CCUGCCCUCGCCGCAGCCCACGGCUCCUUCCGUCGUCGACGAGCAGUACCGCAAUGCAGUGAGCACCCCACUUUCUCCUCCUUCCACCGCGUGGUCCGCUGCCCCCACGCGCGCCUCAUCUAUCUCUACACUCUCCCGCAACCUCCCCACCGCCGCGACCCUCUUCCGCGUCGACUCGUGCCCAGUCGCCACCACUUCCCUCGUUGCCUCGUACGCCGUUGUGGACCACCUUCCCAUCGUCGUCUCCUUCGACAUCAUCCCACCGGUACGUCACGACACUGUUCUCCCCCUCCGUCGCUUCCUCUGCUCCCACUUUCGGGUCCUCCCUAUUCAGGGCAAGUCAGUCCAUGGCAGCCGCCUCAUCGGCCACGUCCGGGUAAAC
rnacentral:misc_RNA from 1 species